UACAGAGGUCUCAAGCGUUGUUCGGAUUCAUUGGGCGUAAAGGGUGCGUAGGCGGCGCGGUAAGUCGGGUGUGAAAUCUCGGAGCUUAACUCCGAAACUGCAUUCGAUACUGCCGUGCUUGAGGACUGGAGAGGAGACUGGAAUUUACGGUGUAGCGGUGAAAUGCGUAGAUAUCGUAAGGAAGACCAGUGGCGAAGGCGGGUCUCUGGACAGUUCCUGACGCUGAGUGAGCGAAAGCCAGGGGAGCAAACGGG
rnacentral:rRNA from 1 species